GAUGAACGCUAGCGGGAGGCUUAAUACAUGCAAGUCGAGGGGUAACGAUGGAGCUUGCUCCAGGCGACGACCGGCGCACGGGUGAGUAACGCGUACACAACCUACCUUCAAGAGGGGGAUAGCCUUUAGAAAUGAAGAUUAAUACCCCAUAGUAUUACUAUUUUUUCGGAAAGAGUAAUUAAAGGAUUCGUCUGCUUGAAGAUGGGUGUGCGUCCUAUUAGCUAGUUGGUGAGGUAACGGCUCACCAAGGCGACGAUAGGUAGGGGGCGUGAGAGCGUGACCCCCCACACGGGUACUGAGACACGGACCCGACUCCUACGGGAGGCAGCAGUAAGGAAUAUUGGACAAUGGGCGCAAGCCUGAUCCAGCCAUCCCGCGUGUAGGAUGACAGCCCUAUGGGUCGUAAACUACUUUUGUACAGGAAGAAACGCCUUCAUUUAUGAGGGCCUGACGGUACUGUAAGAAUAAGCACCGGCUAACUCCG
rnacentral:rRNA from 1 species